AACAAACGCUGGCGGCGUGCCUAAUACAUGCAAGUCGAACGGGGAAAGCUUUCGGGUGAGUACUAGUGGCGCACGGGUGAGGAACGCGUGGAUAAUCUGCCUUAGAGUGGGGGAUAACUAGUCGAAAGAUUCGCUAAUACCGCAUAAGACCACAGGAGCUGCGGCUCUAGGGGUCAAAGGUUUUUCGCUCUAAGAUGAGUCCGCGUAAGAUUAGCUAGUUGGUGAGGUAACGGCUCACCAAGGCGACGAUCUUUAACUGGUCUGAGAGGAUGAUCAGUCACACUGGAACUGAGACACGGUCCAGACUCCUACGGGAGGCAGCAGUAGGGAAUAUUGCACAAUGGAGGAAACUCUGAUGCAGCGACGCCGCGUGAGUGAUGAAGGCCUUCGGGUCGUAAAGCUCUGUCGCAGGGGAAUAACACAAUGAAUGUACCCUGUAAGAAAGGAUCGGCUAACUUCGUGCCAGCCGCCGCCGUAACAC
rnacentral:rRNA from 1 species